rnacentral:rRNA from 1 species
GGACCCGCACAAACGGUGGAGCAUGUGGUUUAAUACGACGAUACGCGUGGAACCUUACCCAGACUUGACAUGUAUUAGAAAUCCUUGUGAAAGCUUGGACCCCUAGCAAUAGGCUGAUACACAGGUGUUGCAUGGCUGUCGUCAGCUCGUGUCGUGAGAUGUUGGGUUAAGUCCCGCAACGAGCGCAACCCUUAUCCUUAGUUGCUACCUACGUCUUCGGAUGUAGCGCACUCUAAAGAGACUGCCGCUGAUAAAGCGGAGGAAGGUGGGGAUGACGUCAAGUCAGUACGGCCCUUACGUCUGGGGCUACACACGUGCUACAAUGGCCGGUACAAAAGGUUGCAAUACCGCGAGGUGGAGCUAAUCCCCAAAACCGGCCCCAGUUCAGAUUGCAGGCUGCAACUCGUCUGCAUGAAGCCGGAAUCGUUAGUAAUCACGUAUCAGCCACGACGUGGUGAAUACGUUCCCGGGUCUU